rnacentral:tRNA from 1 species
GCGCACGUUGCCAAGUGGCUAAGGCGAUCGCCUGCAGAGCGAUUAUUCGGGGGUUCGAGUAAUUUCGAGCUUG